GCCCCUAUAGCUCAGUGGUAGAGCGCAGCACUUGUAACUCCAAUCCGAUAAAAAGGAUUCAGGGUACAGCAAUGCUGAGGUCUGUAGUUCAAUCCUGCAUGGGGGCU